AACUGAACUGAACUGAAGGGAACUGUGGCAGGGGACAACUCACCCAGCUCAGGAGGCUCAGGACUAUAGCCAGGGAAAUGGGGGUAACUUUGGAGAAGGGUAAGUCUAUACUCAGGAGCUAGCAUGAGCAAAGGCAGACAAUAAACAGCAUAUUUUAUAGUACUUGAUAGGAAUACAGGUGGGAAAUGUCUAGGAAGUUUGCUAUUAUGGGAACAUAAAGUGCAAAGCAGAAUGUGUCAAGAAAUGAAACAGGGUGUAAGCAAGGCUUUGUAUUCCAUGUGUGAUUAGUAAGAUGUGUUUACAGGAUUCUGGGUACAGAUUCAGCUGUCACGCUUCUUUCUCACAUAUCUGAAUGUAGUACAUUUAAGGGCCUUCCCUCACCUUUCCAAAACUGGUCCUGAAAAUGGAGCCACUUUUGCUCCCAAAGCUGGUUGGAAAAUCAGUCCACUGCUGGUGCUCUUUCUUACUGCCACAUGGCUCUCAUCUUGAGGACUGAUCUUCCCAAUCCCACAGAAGCUUGGUGACUGGACAGUGAUGCUCUGACUGAUGUGGAUCUGGACUCCUAGCUUACAUAUAUUUUAGUCUUCACCCAAAUGUGCAGUCAUUGUUCUCUAAAAUACCAUAUGUGUCGGAAGGUCUGGGUCUAGAAGAGCUCCUUGCAUCAGCCACAGCGUUGACACAGAUCAUUUACACGAAGAAACAUUCAGAAAAAUAGGAGCUUUAAACGUGAGCAAGCCUGGAAUCACCUGGUAGUUUCCAAGGAGAGUCCCUGAAUCAGCUGCAUAGAGACCUCCUCUCUCUCUGGCACCAUCUGUAACAGGUGUGCAGUAUUCUUGCUCGGAACCUUUGCUGAGGAUGCUAGUGUGAGACAAGCAGCAGUGAUUCCUUAUGUAGAACCAUCCACUAAAUAGAAUGUAAAAGAUGAAAGGAAGCACCUUAGUUGAAAUCUCUUCAGCAAUAAUUCCUUACAUCAAUAUAUUGUGUUACAAUGUUUACUGUUUUUACAAAAACCUCAGGUGGGAAAAUAAGGCUCAGAGAGGGUGUGAUGAGCUCCAAGUCACACAGCUCAUUAGUGGGAGAGUUGGGACUAGCCUUCAACCAGGAUUCCCAAAACUUAGACCAGACAGGGAAACAAUGGAAAAAAAAAAAAAAAACAACCACGAAGGAGUCCACCGAAAGAGACAAAAUACCUGAAAUGAUUCAAGGACAAGAGGGUGUACAAACACACACAUGUUAUAUAUUAUGGUGCUGAUUUUAAGCAAAACUGUAAUUCACAAAAGAAAGUAAGAGGAAUGAGUGGAUUAAUAGGGAAAGGCUUCAUGGAGGUAAGACUUAAUGUGGGCCUUGAGAAUGAAAGGAUUAUACUGACCGGCAGCUGUGAGACUGCAGACAAAAGGGCCAUGUUCAUGAGUAGCUCACCAAAAGCACUUAGGAAGAGGGGAAUAUUUGUGUUAGAGUUUCUUGUGCUGCCAUGAUAUUCAUCUUAGGCUUCUGAAGGUGUUCUCCAGUACCCAGUUUCCAUCCUCCUUCUGAACUUUCAAGACCUACCCCACGUGUGUGUCCUUCUUCAUGGCCGCUUAUGACUGACACCUCUCAUCCCUCACAACAUAUUCCAUAGCCUAGGAUGGAUCCACAACCACAUGGUUCUAUCUCUGCCUGGCUUCCACAAAACACCAGAUGAGACAAAUGGAGAAAGGGAAUGCCAGGCAAGGAAAAUAUCACAGAGUCUGUGAGACUGACAGAAAAGUAGGCUUACCUCAUUAAGGUGUAGAGCUGUCUCUGGAGGCUGCUUGCUAGCUGUGUGACCCUGAAUAAGUCACUGGGAUUCUUGGAGCCUUAAGCUUUCUAAUCUGUAAAAUGGGAGUAGAUUGGCAUUAACCUUGCAGGGCUGUUGUUUCCAGCCUAGUGCCUACCCCACAGUAGGUACUGAUUAAUGGUAGCUGUUUGUAUGAGCCUGCACCUGUAAUAUAGCUGAUAUGUGUAGUCUUUGAGCUCCCAGAUUUUCUUGCUGUGUAGUUAGUGUGAACUGUGCAUUUGAACUAAAUGUGUGUGCUGAAGGUGGUAAAUCUAGUGGGGAGAGAGACACACAGUGGAAAGUGAUUGCAGACAAGAGGUCUAGCCACUCCGUGUCCUCAUCUAUCAUUGGGUACUGUUCCCUGCUGCCCUCGGAGGUAGUAACUCUCAGUUAGGAGACCCGGUCUGGCCUGAGAAUGGUCAAGAUAGCAAUUUGUUUCCAGUUUUCUCAAGUUCUUUCCUUUCGGUUGUUUAACACAUUUAUUGAGGAUUUAUUAUGUGUCAGGUGUUUUUUGCUAAGUGUUGGGUUUGCAGAGAUGAAUCUGCCUUUUGCCGUGCACCUUCCCUACCAUGUUCUCUGAUUGCGCUGGUCCCGCUGUCAGUCUGGCGAAUAUCUGAUAAAUCUCAGUCACAUUACGAACUCAAAAAUAUAAUGUUAAAUGAAAGAUUUGCACAAUCCUGUGUGUGUGUGCACAUGCACUAAUGUGUGUAUCCUGUUUGUGUACAAAAAGGAUAAAUAUAUGUGUCCAGAAUGUAUAAGGAAGGAUAUAUAUGAGAAAUUGCUAAUAAGAGUUACUUCUGGCAAGAGGAAGUUGGCAAGCAGGGGCACUGGGAGAAUAGGAAAGGAACUUUUCAUUUUCACCUUUAGUCAUCUGUUUUACUAGAUUUUUACCAUGUGCAUGUAUUACUUUUAUAAUUAAUAAACUUGGUGUUAAAAAUAAAACUCA